rnacentral:sRNA from 1 species
CACAGGGCUGACACCCUGGGCUACCAUAUCACGUCCCUUCGGGACG